GUGGCUGUAGCUCAACAGUAGAGCGCUUGCCUGUGGAGCAAGAGGUCGCGGGAGCGUCACCCGUCAGCCACC
rnacentral:tRNA from 1 species